UACGAGGGGAGCAAGCGUUGUUCGGAUUUACUGGGCGUAAAGGGCGCGUAGGCGGCGUGACAAGUCACUUGUGAAAUCUCCGGGCUUAACCCGGAAAGGUCAAGUGAAACUGUCGUGCUAGAGUACAGAAGGGGCAACUGGAAUUCUCGGUGUAGCGGUGAAAUGCGUAGAUAUCGAGAGGAACACCUGCGGCGAAAGCGGCUCACUGGACCACAACUACGCUGAUGCACGAAAGCUAGGGGAGCAAACAGG
rnacentral:rRNA from 1 species